rnacentral:tRNA from 1 species
GCGUCCUUAGCUUAACGGAUAAAGCGCCGGUCUUCGAAACCGGUAAUGGGGGUUCGAUUCCCUCAGGGCGCACCA